rnacentral:rRNA from 1 species
UACGUAGGGUGCAAGCGUUAAUCGGAAUUACUGGGCGUAAAGCGUGCGCAGGCGGUUUUGUAAGUCAGAUGUGAAAUCCCCCGGGCUUAACCUGGGAACUGCGUUUGAAACUACAAGGCUAGAGUGUGGCAGAGGGGGGGUGGAAUUCCACGUGUAGCAGUAAAAUGCGUAGAGAUGCGGAGGAACACCGAUGGCGAAGGCAAUCCCCUGGACCUGUACUGACGCUCAUGCACGAAAGCGUGGGGAGCAAACAGG